rnacentral:rRNA from 1 species
CUACGGGUGGCUGCAGUGAGGAAUUUUGCGCAAUGGGGGAAACCCUGACGCAGCAACGCCGCGUGAGUGAUGAAGGCUUUCGGGUCGUAAAGCUCUGUCAAGUGGGAAGAAACUGAUUGGCGGUAAUAUCGCCGGUCACUGACGGUACCACUGAAGGAAGCACCGGCUAACUCGCGUGCCAGGCAGCCGCGGUAACACGGGGGGUGCAAGCGUUAUUCGGAAUUAUUGGGCGUAAAGAGCGCGUAGGCGGUCUUUUAAGUCAGAUGUGAAAGCCCGGGGCUUAACCCCGGAAGUGCAUUUGAAACUAAAAGACUUGAGUAUGGGAGAGGGAAGUGGAAUUCCUGGUGUAGAGGUGAAAUUCGUAGAUAUCAGGAGGAACACCGGUGGCGAAGGCGACUUCCUGGACCAAUACUGACGCUGAGGCGCGAAGGCGUGGGGAGCAAACAGGAUUAGAUACCCCAGUAGUC